GAGAGAGGCCCGCCCGCAAUGAUGACUGCUAAUCCUCACCCCUUUGGUUGAACUCCAAAGCUCACUCGAAU
rnacentral:tRNA from 1 species